UCGUUUUACUUUUAUUCUGAAAGAAAUUGAAUUAACAAUACACACACUAUAAUAAAUCAUGGAUGAGUUUAAUCUCAAACUGCUUUAAGCAUAGGUCUCAUCAUUUCAUUAAAUUUACUUAAUAAAAAAAAUUAUUGAAAAUGAAGGAGAAUAUGAUUGCAUCAAUUCAUAUUCAUAUAUCUUAGUGCCACAUAUGAUAACAUUGAUCAUGUUUUUGAAUAAGUAAAUAAAAUGAUGAUACAAUGAGUUCCAGGUAACUUUGCAAAUUACACAACUGUUGUUAUCCAGGUUUUCAUUGCCAUGUUCACUUCUUUGCUUUAUCUUCAUACUUGGUUUACAAAUCAUUGUGUUUUGAAACCAAGAUUUAAAACUGUUUGUACAGUAAUUUACAUCUCAAACUUCAUGGGGGUCUGUAGGAAGAUCAAUUUUAAUUCCCAUCAAAUAUAAUUUCUUUCAUCAAAUCAAAACUCACUUUCUUAUUUAACAUACACACACAUACACACAUAGCUAAAAAUAACAAAACAACUUACUUUGUGAUUCCUUUAUACAGUGAUUUGCUGCUUAAACUUUAACCAGUUGUUUUAUAAUCCAAACAUUCAGAGCACUACAAAAUAUGUAACAAUGAAAACACAAAUAGAAUAAGAAUGAAUUUGUGAAAAAACAUAUACAUUUUCAAUAUGCAGCAUGAUUUACAAGCCAGUUUUAUUCAAAUUUUGAAUAUCCACUAUUCAUUUGCUGUUUUAAUAUAAACUUGAAUGGAAAUGACUGUUCUAUAAAACCUACAUGACAGGAUACACCAUAAACAUGAUGUAUCCUUGACAAGGCACUCCCAGGGAAUUGGUGAUAUAGCUCCAAAGCAGAGAUUGCACAGAGGGGAGGUGAUUAGUAGACUCACCUUCUGCAGAACUACGUUGAAACAAUGGAGUCCACGCCGACAACAUCUUCCUGUAAUGCAGACACUGAGGAAAGUGCAGACCUAAGCGUGUUUUCUUCUGGAGGUCAUGAGGAGUGAGUGAGCACAUUAUUCUGUUUCGUAGCAUUGAUGAGCUCCUUAAGCUGUCAGAUAGCUGCAGAUGUUCGGCUCUACGUGAAGAAAAAUCGAAGAUUGUAAGAACGUUGCAGCAAUGAGCAGCAUCAGAUGUCUGCUGAUGGUAAGUGGGUAUUUUUUCCAUUCUUUGCACAUUAGCGUUAUUAGAUUGAAGUUCAACUAUUAAGUUAGCCACGGAGUAUGGCCUUAUAAUAACUAUCACUUUGCAUGAGGAUAUAAAAGUCCAGAAAUUGGUGCUUCACCAAAUGUUGUACUCUAUAGUUUUAAUCAAAGACUGUGACCUGUAAUCUUUCCGAUCUCGCAACAUCCCCUUCCCGAAUAUUUCUUCCCAUUGCCAGCAGCAACCUCAGCAAAUUACAAAGGAGAGCAUUCAUUACAGCAGGCUGCAGUGCUGUGCCACGCUAUCCACAGCAGCAUAUUGGAUUGCAAGACAGAAGACUAGCAGUGGAAACAGUGCAAACUGGUCAGAAAAAACUGUUGAAAACUAUUUAAAAGCUGUUGAAGAAUUUGCACAUGUGGUGUGGUGGAUCAGAAAUUUGAGAAGAAAGGGAGCAAUUGUUGUGCAGGUAAAGAGAGCAGCAUGACUUGGUCUCUGGUGGGCCCACAUCUCUUGAGUUCCUAUUCUGUGUCAAUUAGGUGCCCACCUCAUCCAAAGUGCUUCUGCUACAAGUACAAACAUUGCAUUGGAUAGAUUAUUUUACAAUCUUAAGUGUUAUUUCUUAUUUUUUUAGUAGCUUAAGGUUAUUUUGUAUCAAUUUGGCAUAUAUAUAUAUAUAUAUAUAUAUAUAUAUUUUAGUGUAAAAUUUAAUUAUUUUUUAAAACUCCGUUAUUUUCAUGGAUGGAUUUUACUAAUGCAUGAUGCAGGUAUUUUCCAAUGAAAAAUUUGGUAGAGAUUUACAAAAUUUUAAGUAAUAUUACUUGUAUCUUUCAUAAGUGAAUAGAGUGGAAUUGUGCGUGUUGAAAUUACUUUAAGAAGAGAAGCGUGUGCAACUAUGUAUUUUUUUUGCAAGGUAUUAUGAAAUGCAUGUAUAACAAGUAAGAAUGCAUGUAGAAAUUGUUGGGUUUAUUUAUAUUCGUACAUGUUAGUUGGUUGUUGAUAUAUGUAUGUUUAGAUGAUCAUAAAAUUGAUGUGCUUGUCACAUAUCUUACAAAGAUCAACUUUAUAACCAUCUAAACAUAUAAAUCUAUUUAUUUAUUUAUAAACAUUAAAAAAAUUAAAGAAUUUGUAAAAGACUGUUUGCAACAUUAUCAAAAUGUAAUAAUUCAUGCAUGUUUCAAUUUAUCCAAUAAUUUCGGUAUAACAUAAAAUAAAAUAAAUAAAAAAAUUCAAACAAUCCUAAGAAAAAAGAAAUGGGUAAAAAAGAGUUCU